UCCGGUUGAUCCUGCCGGACCCGACUGCUAUUUGGGUGAGGAUAAGCCAUGCGAGUUGUAUGGGAUCCCUAAAGUUCCCAUAGCAAACUGCUCAGUAACACAUGAUCAACUUGCCCUAUGGAGAGCACUAACCUCGGGAAACUGAGGAUAAUGGCUCAUACUUGAUUAGGCUUGGAAAAGUUUUUCAAUGAAAGGCGUAAGAAAAAUGGUUCUUAUGCGCCAUAGGAUAGGAUCGUGCUCGAUUAUGGUAGUUGGUGAGGUAACGGCUCACCAAGCCGAUAAUCGAUAGGGGCCGUGAGAGCGGUUGCCCCGAGAUGGGUACUGAGACAGCGACCCAGGCCUUACGAGGCGCAGCAGGCGCGAGACCUCCGCAAUACACACAAGUGCGACGGGGUUACCCAAAGUGUCCUUAUCGGACUGUGGCGGGUGAGUAAUGUUCCCCGCUAGAAAGGAGAGGGCAAGGCUGGUGCCAGCCGCCGCGGUAAAACCAGCUCUUCAAGUGGUCGGGAUAAUUAUUGGGCUUAAAGUGUCCGUAGCCGGUUUAGUAAGUUCCUGGUAAAACCGGGCAGCUUAACUGUCCGUAUGCUAGGAAUACUGCUAUGCUAGAGGGCGGGAGAGGUCUGAGGUACUACAGGGGUAGGGGUGAAAUCUUAUAAUCCUUGUAGGACCACCAGUGGCGAAAGCGUCAGACUGGAACGCGCCUGACGGUGAGGGACGAAAGCCAGGGGAGCGAACCGGAUUAGAUACCCGGGUAGUCCUGGCCGUAAACGAUGCAUACUAGGCAAUGGUGCGGCCAUGAGCCGCAUCAGUACCGUAGGGAAACCGUUAAGUGUGCCGCCUGGGAAGUACGGUCGCAAGGCUAAAACUUAAAGGAAUUGGCGGGGGAGCACCACAAGGGGUGAAGCCUGCGGUUCAAUUGGAUUCAACGCCGGG
rnacentral:rRNA from 1 species